UCGUAAGGGGGUCCGAGCGUCAUCUUGAAUCACUGGCGUAAAUGGAUGCGUUAGCGCGUAUAAGUCAGGGUGAAUGCCUACGGCAUAACAGUAGUAAGCCUUGAAACUCAUGGCUUGAGUGCAGAGAGAGAGUGGAAUUCCUAGUGUAGCGGUGAAAUGCGUAGAUAUUAGGAGGAACACCAGUGGCGAAGGCGACUCUCUGGACUGUAACUGACGCUGAGGCACGAAAGCGUGGGGAGCGAACAGGAUUAGAUACCCUGGUAGUCCACGCCGUAAACGAUGAGUGCUAGGUGUCGGAGCCGACAGGCUUCGGUGCCGCAGCUAACGCAUUAAGCACUCCGCCUGGGGAGUACGGUCGCAAGACUGAAACUCAAAGGAAUUGACGGGGACCCGCACAAGCAGCGGAGCAUGUGGUUUAAUUCGAAGCAACGCGAAGAACCUUACCAGGACUUGACAUCCCUGUGACCGGACUUUAAUAGGUCCUUUCCCUUCGGGGACAGAGGAGACAGGUGGUGCAUGGUUGUCGUCAGCUCGUGUCGUGAGAUGUUGGGUUAAGUCCCGCAACGAGCGCAACCCUUGUCUUUAGUUGCCAGCAGGUAAAGCUGGGCACUCUAGAGAGACUGCCGGGGAUAACUCGGAGGAAGGUGGGGAUGACGUCAAAUCAUCAUGCCCCUUAUGUUCUGGGCUACACACGUGCUACAAUGGCUGGUACAACGGGCAGCGAAGGAGUAAUUUGGAGCGAAUCCUAAAAGCCAGUCUCAGUUCGGAUUGUGGGCUGCAACCCGCCCACAUGAAGUUGGAGUUGCUAGUAAUCGUGGAUCAGAAUGCCGCGGUGAAUGCGUUCCCGGGUCUUGUACACACCGCCCGUCACACCAUGGAAGUUGGAGGCGCCCGAAGUCAGCUAUCUAACCGCAAGGAGGAAGCUGCCGGAAGGUGAAAUCAAUGAUCUGGGGU
rnacentral:rRNA from 1 species